UACAGAGGGUGCAAGCGUUGUUCGGAAUUAUUGGGCGUAAAGGGCGCGUAGGCGGUGCGGCAAGUCGGGAGUGAAAUCUCUGGGCUUAACCCAGAGGCUGCUUCCGAAACUGCUGUGCUUGAGUGUGGGAGAGGCGCGUGGAAUGCAGGUGUAGCGGUGAAAUGCGUAGAUAUCUGCAGGAACACCCGUGGCGAAAGCGGCGCGCUGGACCACUACUGACGCUGAGGAACGAAAGCUAGGGGAGCAAACGG
rnacentral:rRNA from 1 species